rnacentral:misc_RNA from 1 species
UCGGUGACGCACUUGUACUGC